rnacentral:rRNA from 1 species
UACGUAGGGGGCAAGCGUUGUCCGGAAUCAUUGGGCGUAAAGCGCGUGUAGGCGGCCCGAUAAGUCCGCUGUGAAAGUCCAGGGCUCAACCCUGGGAUGCCGGUGGAUACUGUCGGGCUCGAGUCCGGAAGAGGCGAGUGGAAUUCCUGGUGUAGCGGUGAAAUGCGCAGAUAUCAGGAGGAACACCAAUGGCGAAGGCAGCUCGCUGGGACGUGACUGACGCUGAGUCGCGAAAGCGUGGGGAGCAAACAGG